rnacentral:rRNA from 1 species
GACGAACGCUGGCGGCGUGCCUAAUACAUGCAAGUUGAGCGCUGAAGGUUGGUACUUGUACCAACUGGAUGAGCAGCGAACGGGUGAGUAACGCGUGGGGAAUCUGCCUUUGAGCGGGGGACAACAUUUGGAAACGAAUGCUAAUACCGCAUAAAAACUUUAAACACAAGUUUUAAGUUUGAAAGAUGCAAUUGCAUCACUCAAAGAUGAUCCCGCGUUGCAUUAGCUAGUUGGUGAGGUAAAGGCUCACCAAGGCGAUGAUACAUAGCCGACCUGAGAGGGUGAUCGGCCACAUUGGGACUGAGACACGGCCCAAACUCCUACGGGAGGCAGCAGUAGGGAAUCUUCGGCAAUGGACGAAAGUCUGACCGAGCAACGCCGCGUGAGUGAAGAAGGUUUUCGGAUCGUAAAACUCUGUUGGUAGAGAAGAACGUUGGUGAGAGUGGAAAGCUCAUCAAGUGACGGUAACUACCCAGAAAGGGACGGCUAACUACGUG